rnacentral:lncRNA from 1 species
UGAGGAUCCUUUCCAUUAUUUACUAUAUGCACAGGAUACCAACAAUUCUGGUUUUUACCUCGUUUGAAUUAUGUUUAAUCUUGUAUUUUGUUGAUUUGUAUGGAAGCACUUAAAUGAUCAAGGAUUUAUUUUUUGAUUUUGAGCACAACCACUUAAAUUAUCAAGGAUUUAUUUUCUGAUCUUUUUUCUUGAACCCUUAACCAUAAAUUAUG